GCUCGAGAGAUGGCUCAGCGGUUAAGAGCAUCGACUGUUCUUCCAUGGGUCCUGAGUUCAAUUCCCAGCAACAGCA
rnacentral:tRNA from 1 species